rnacentral:lncRNA from 1 species
GGAAGUGAGUCAUAUCACAUUGGCACUUCUGUCUCCUCCUGUGCACUUUGGUAACCUCCUCAGCCAGAGAAAGCACACUGGUUCUUAAAUGAAAGUAAUUUUAAUAACAAUAACACUAACGGUUUUAGUAACAAUACAGAGUAGGUUCAUUCCUGUAGCACUUUUGUUUCCCAAGGCCAACUUCUCAUGGACCGUCUCUGGACCAGGCUGCCCUUGUCCAUUAAUGGCAAGGUCUCCAGGAGGACAGGGCACCACAAAGGUAUCCAAAUUCCUACGGCCAGUCAGACUGUUUAGAAGGUCGCAUCUCUUCAGGAAAUCGUCAAAAUAUUCGUCCUUCAGAUGCAAGUCAAACUUUUUCAGGACUGAAAUGACAUCUUCCUUUCCAACCUCCAAGAGAGAGAAAGAGAGAUCAGACGGCUACUUUACAAAGUUUCCACCUAAAUCACAGGUUUGGGGAUUUCCAUUUAUUCGUCUUGUUAAGAGUCAUGGGGAGGAUGGUGGAGAAGAAUGGGGGGAAUUUAUUCAGCAUAUUUUUUUAGAGUAUCUACCAUGUAUGUAUAAGAUACAACAGGGCUAUAAAGUCAUAGUGACCAUCUUCUUGGGGCUUACGUUAUAAUUGGAGAAUUAAAACUCCAUGUUAAUAGCUGUUAUCGCUAUUUGCACAAGGUAACAAUUACACACAAGGUGCUACAACAGUCCAGAAGAGAGAGAGCCCAUCCCUGCUAGAACAUCCAGGAAGAGAAAGGUAGCAGGGAAAUUUUUAACUGAAAGGUUAUUUCUUUCUAAUUAGAACCUGUAUAUUUAAGACUAACUUCAUUUAUAUUUUUAGAAAGUUAUAUCAUUCACAAAAUGAUGAAAAAAUGUAUAAAAAUAAAUGCUUAACACUUAGAUCAAGAACCUUUCCAAUUAGAUAAUCUAAUCUCAAUCUUUAUUUAACUCAACCGGCUCAUACCUUUGGCAGAACAAAAAACCAAAGCAAAUUAGUCUGAUUUUGUAUUUUGCUUAUUGUGUCCCCACCUUGCCUAGAUAUACUGAGAUAUCUGAAAAUCAGGGAAAUGCUUUUCAGAGACUCACAGUAAAAGAAGAAGAGAGCAGAGAGUCUUGAUGAAAGGCAAACUGGAUAAUCAAGAUAGAGAAUUAGUUACAGGAAUGAUGACUCUGUAUCUUAUGAAUCUUGAAGUUAAUAAAAACUAUUUAAAAGAAAAUAUUUUGGUAAUAAGAAUUCUAACCAGGCUAAGCCUAGAGAACUUACUGACCUCUUUGUUUUCAAGCUGAUUUAAAAAUGUAAUUCAAAUGGUAAGUAGUUACUAAACACCAACUACACGUUGCCCAGUGGGGUUACAAAGAUCAGUAAGACAAAUGCCUUAGCUUCAAGAACUACUGUCUAGUAGGGAAAAUGGACACGUAAAUACAGGUUAAAUGACACGAUACCAUUUACAACCAUUAAAUUGAUUUUAAAAACUAUUAAUAUCGAUAUGCCCAGUUGUUGGCAAGUAUAAUGAUUGAAUUGUGUCCCCCCCAAAUUCAUAGUCAAUGCUGUAAGCCCCAAUACCUCAGAAUGUCACUAUAUUUGGAGAUAGGAUCUUUAAAGAGGUAAUUGAGGUAAAAUGAAACUACUAAGGUGGGCCCUAAUCCAGUAUGAGUGGUGGCUUUAUGAGAAGAGGAGAUUAGGACACAGACACACAGAGAGAAGACCAAGUGAAGACACAAGGAGCAGACCCGUCUACAAACCAAGGAGAGAGGCCUCAGAAGAAACCAAACCUGCCAACACCUUGAUCUUGGACUUCUAGCCUCUAGAAUUGUGAGACAAUAAACUUAUGUGGUUUAAGUCACUCAGCCUGUGAUAUUUUGUUAUGGCAGACCUAGAAACUAAUACAGCAAGGAUAUGGGCAAAGGAGAAAUUUUUAUGCAUUGCUAGUAAAUAAACUGGCACAACCAUUUUGGAGAGUCACAAGCCUCAGCAGCCGAUUCCAUUUGAGUGUCUACCCUAGAAAAAGUCCAGCAAAUGCACCCAAGAAUAAAAAGCUGUUCCAUGUCGCAUUACCUCUUAACUGUGAAGAAGUUGAAACUAACUUCUCUCAGUAGGAAAGUAGGUAAAGA